AUUGAACGCUGGCGGCAGGCCUAACACAUGCAAGUCGAACGAGUGGCGGACGGGUGAGUAACGGCUGGGAAACUGCCUGAGGGAGGGGGAUAACUACUGGAAACGGUAGCUAAUACCGAAUACCAGCAGAUGUGCCCAGAUGGGAUUAGCUAGUCGGUGAGGUAACGGCUCACCUAGGCGACGAUCCCUAGCUGGUCUGAGAGGAUGACCAUCCACACUGGAACUGGACCACGGUCCCGACUCCUACGUGAGGCAUCAGUUGGGAAUAUUGCACAAUGGACGCGAGCCUGAUGCAGCCCAGCCGCGUGUGUGAAGAAGUCCUUCGGGUUGUAAAGUACUUUCAGCGGGGAGGCGUUACCCGCAGAGGAGGCGCCGGCUAACUCCGUGCCGGCAGCCGCGGUAAUAC
rnacentral:rRNA from 1 species